rnacentral:pre_miRNA from 1 species
AUUGUACUCCCUCCAUCCGGAAAUACUUGUCAUCAAAAUGGAUAAAAGAGGAUGUAUCUAGACGUAUUUUAGUUCUAGAUACAUCUCAUUUUAUCCAUUUUGAUGACAAGUAUUUUCGGACGGAGGGAGUAACAU